rnacentral:rRNA from 1 species
UACGUAGGGUGCAAGGCGUUAAUCGGAAUUACUGGGCGUAAAGGCGUGACGCAGGCGGUUAUAUAAGACAGUUGUGUAAAUCCCCGGGCUACAACCCGUGGGAACUGGACAUCUGUGACUGUAUAGCUAGAGUACGGUAGAGGGGGGAUGGAAUUCCGCGUGUAGCAGUGAAAUGCGUAGAUAUGCGGAGGAACACCGAUGGCGAAGGCAAUCCCCCUGGACCUGUACUGACGCUCAUGCACGAAAGCGUGGGGGAGCAAACAGG